rnacentral:rRNA from 1 species
UACGAGGGGGGGCGAGCGUUGUUCGGAAUUACUGGGCGUAAAGGGCUCGUAGGCGGCCAACUAAGUCAGACGUGAAAUCCCUCGGCUUAACCGGGGAACUGCGUCUGAUACUGGAUGGCUCGAGUUUGGGAGAGGGAUGCGGAAUUCCAGGUGUAGCGGUGAAAUGCGUAGAUAUCUGGAGGAACACCGGUGGCGAAGGCGGCAUCCUGGACCAACACUGACGCUGAUGAGCGAAAAGCCAGGGGAGCAAACGGG